UUGAGGCUCUGGUCCGUAAGAAACAACAUUCCCAGGCACAACGUGCCCCCUGUUCGCUCCUGAUUCGGCCCGGCCUCAGGUCCUGGAAUGGGCUCACUCCUCCAGGCUUACCUGUCAUCCUGGAGCUCGUCGUACCCUGGCUUUCCUCCGACAAUGCUUCUGGUGGCCCACCAUGGCUCCUGAUGCCUAGGCCUUCGUCGCCGCAUGCAUGGUGUCUGCUCAAAGCAAGACUCCGCGGCAAGCUCUGUCUGGCCUCCUUCAGCCACUGCCUAUCUCUCAUCGCCCCUUUUCCCAUAUUUCGUCACUGGGCUUCCCCCGUCAGAUGGUAACACCACCAACACCACCAUGCUGACGGUGGUGGAUGGGUUCCCCAGAUGUUCAUCUGCCGCUGUCGGCGUACCUGGAAAAGAGCUCGGGCAGCUCUUCUCAAGACCACCUCUGGGUAUCAUCGGCAAGCGGACCGCCACCGGACUCUGGCUCCCCGCUAUUGGGUCGGGCACAGGGUAUGGUUGUCCACAUGGGACCUGUCCCUCCGGGUGGAAUCCCACAAACUUUCCCCCCGUUUCAUUGGUCCUUUCCCCAUUGCUAGAGUCCUUAGUCCCACUGCUGUCCGUCUGCUGUUACCCCGUACCCUCCGUGUUCACCCAACAUUUCAACUGUUCAAGCCUUUGUCUUCUGUUUCUAGGCCCAUUUCUAGGUGUCAUCGACGGUCAGCCAGCAUACACGGUGAGACGCCUCCUGAGGGUUCGACCAUGGGGCUUGGGUUUCCAGGACCUGGUUGACUGUGGGUUAUGGGCAGGAGGAGAGGUGCUGGGUUCCCACUAAAGACGUCCUGGACCCGACCGUUGUCACCGCCGGCACCCCGGUCAGCCAGGUGGUGCCCAGGUAGGACGCCAGGUGGUGCCCAUAGAGAGGUGUGUGAGCUCGCUCCACAUCAUGGAAGACAGACAGGUACACCCACUAUGACUGGCCAGUCACGCCCCCUGUUGCUCAUCAUUUUAUUUAGUGCGAUGUUUAUUCCUUUCAUUUGGUUUUCAGUAUCAUUUUAAUUUUACAUUUGCUCUUUUGAAAUUGUGUUCCCUGUUUGUCUGUUGCCAGUUCGUCUUGUCAAGUCAACCAGCAUGUUUUUCCAUGCUCCUGCUGUUUCUUAUCUCUCUUUUGAUAGUUCUCCCGGUUUUGACCCUUGCCUGCCUUGACCCUGAAACCACCUGCCUGACCAUACUGCCUGCCCUGACCUCGAGCCUGCCUACCACUCUGUACCUCCUGGACUCUGAC
ensembl:lncRNA